AGAUGUGAGGGCGAUCUGGCUGCCACAUCUGUCACCACACUGAUUGUCAGGAUUGAUUUGGCUGUUCUAGCUUGCCAAGAGAGUAUCCCCUUCCCCCGUCACCACUCCAUGUGCAUCCCUCCCGAAGCUGCACUCAGCCAAAGGGGACUACCAAGGAGUAUAAUUUCCUCCAUCAAGGGUGCACAGGUAGCUGGGCUUGCAUGUUAGUCCCUCCAAAUAAGCUCUCAAAAUGUUUACUAGAGUGAAAGCGUUAAAAGCUACUCAGCUCAUUUUUCCUUAUUAGAAAGAGUUGGGGUUGUAAUGGAA
rfam:Cavia porcellus supercont2_12 genomic scaffold, whole genome shotgun sequence.